rnacentral:rRNA from 1 species
GGCUCAAGAACGACGCUGGCGGCGCGUUUUAAGCAUGCAAGUCGAGCGGCAAGGGCCUUCGGGCCCUAGAGCGGCGGACGGGUGAGUAACACGUGGACAAUCUGCCCCCGGCCCGGGAUAGCCCAGGGAAACCUGGAUUAAUACCGGAUGAGACGGGACCCGCGAUGGCGGGACCCGGGAAAGGCGCUGCGGCGCCGCCGGGGGAUGAGUCUGCGUCCCAUUAGCUAGACGGCGGGGUAACGGCCCACCGUGGCGACGAUGGGUAGCCGGCCUGAGAGGGUGAUCGGCCACAUUGGGACUGAGACACGGCCCAAACUCCUACGGGAGGCAGCAGUAGGGAAUCUUCCGCAAUGGACGAAAGUCUGACGGAGCAACGCCGCGUGAGUGAAGAAAGGGUUUUCGGAUCGUAAAACUCUGUUGUCAGAGAAGAACAAGUUGGAGGGUAACUGCUCCAGCCUUGACGGUAUCUGACCAGAAAGCCACGGCUAACUACGUGCCAGCAGCGGC